UACGAAGGGGGCUAGCGUUGUUCGGAAUUACUGGGCGUAAUGCGCACGUAGGCGGGUCGUUAAGUCAGGGGUGAAAUCCCAGAGCUCAACUCUGGAACUGCCUUUGAUACUGGCGACCUAGAGUUCGGAAGAGGUUAGUGGAAUUCCCAGUGUAGAGGUGAAAUUCGUAGAUAUUGGGAAGAACACCAGUGGCGAAGGCGGCUAACUGGUCCGAUACUGACGCUGAGGCGCGAAAAGCG
rnacentral:rRNA from 1 species